rnacentral:sRNA from 1 species
UCCCGUGUACUGAAGACCCAGCGUUUAGUUCUCCUUUGAUUUCCUCUCCCUCUGGCCACCUCUGCCCCCAAUCAGGCCUGCUUUGAUGGGACCCCGAAGGCCAGGAAGGAACUGGUCCUGGGUUUUCUAAGAGCUGGGGGCGGAUGGAAUUCUCCUGCCUGCGGGUCUUUAAAGACUGAGACCCGGGAAAAGGAGAAGAUGAAGGAAGCCAAGGAUGCCCGCUAUACCAAUGGGCACCUCUUCACCACCAUUUCAGUUUCAGGCAUGACCAUGUGCUAUGCCUGUAACAAGAGCAUCACAGCCAAGGAAGCCCUCAUCUGCCCAAGUAAGUUGUUUGGACCCUGAGAGUCACCCAGACUCGGUGCCCACUGACCCUGAUCUUUUCAUCUGUUUUUUCUGCCUGGAUCCAUGAGGGUCACUCUUCUCUCUGAUCCCCAGCUGGGCCCAAAUGCCAGGGCCAGUUGCUUGAUCCCUUGCUCCCUGUCCUCACUCUGAGGGGUGGUGGCUGUUGGAAUAUGGCAUAAGCCGGACUAUCUGGGAAUGUGGGGGAGGGGAGGCUGUGCUGGCUCCUCUUGCAGCUGUCAUCCACCAGGCACCCCCCCUUGCUCCCCGAACAGCUGCUAAGGGUUAGGGGAACUGAUUGGAGAAGGAGCAGGAAUGUUGUAUGUGUGGA